UGUUACGCUCAAAACAUAGGGCUCCCAAAAUCCUUAAAUUUCUUCACACAUAUCUCAAUUUCUUCGCUAAUCUUCUGUAGAUUAUUACAAUUGAGGCCCCUUCAGCGCCAAAAUCAAAUUGCCCGAAGGAGAAUGAUGCAGGCAUGUUGAUCGGAUAUUCAAAUCAACGUGGUGUGGUUUCUUUGAUAUUUUAUAUAAUAGAUAAGAUCAUGUACAAUACAGUU
rnacentral:lncRNA from 1 species